UACUGAUGCUUGGGAAGGUCUGAGGAAGUCGCACUCUCUAAGAGGGAAAGGAAGGAAACUUCUUACUUCCAGACCAGAAAAUACACUCCUAUGAUACGGAAUAAUGUACAAGAA
rnacentral:ribozyme from 1 species